UUUGAGUUUCAAAAGCAUUCUCGUAACUCUUUUAUACUUCAAAUAGGAGUUUGGACUUUUACACAUUCUCUUUUAAAAAUAUAUUAUAGAUAAAUUAUUUACAGUACAAAAUUGAUUCAUGCCAAUGCAAUACAAGACUAUUUUCAUUAUAUAUUCGAGCAAUCAUAUAUAUAUUCGCAUCUCUUUAAUAUUUACCCUAAUGUAGUAUAUAAGAAAAUUCAAUCAUGAAUAUUUUUUAGAUGCAAACCAUCAAAGGAAGGCAUAGGGUGUGGUAAGGAUUUGUUAGUGCGCGUAGUUUUUGUUUUCUGGUAGCCGUUGCUCGCCAUUUCUUCGACCUUCUAUUACUCCCUNNNNNNNNNNNNNNNNNNNNNNNNNNNNNNNNNNNNNNNNNNNNNNNNNNNNNNNNNNNNNNNNNNNNNNNNNNNNNNNNNNNNNNNNNNNNNNNNNNNNNNNNNNNNNNNNNNNNNNNNNNNNNNNNNNNNNNNNNNNNNNNNNNNNNNNNNNNNNNNNNNNNNNNNNNNNNNNNNNNNNNNNNNNNNNNNNCUAAUUCUUAUAACUAUAUCCUCUGUAUUUCUGUGGAAGCAUGAUCGCAUUCCGAAUUUGUACUGUAAACAUUUUUUUAACCAACGAGAAAAUAUUAAACUUUUGAGAUAAUUAAUUACCCAUUAAGAGAAAAUAAUAAGUGACAUAAUAGAUAAUUUGAUUUUUGUUAACUUACCCAAGUCCAUGUAAAGAAAGCUAACUGAAAAGAAUUCUGCAAACCCAUAAGAAGAAAGAAUAAAUUUGAGAAAUAUUUGUUGGGAAUUUCAUUGAAUUAAUUAGAAAAUAAAAUAAUUAAGUAAGUGAUUAAUUAAUUAAUUAAUUAAUUACCUGAAACAAUAUUAAGUGCAGGAGAUGAAGAAGCAAUUUAGGAGAGAAGAACCAGAAGAAAUGGUCACUGGGUGUGACGAGCACAUUCCCUCUAAUUACUAAAUGAGAAUUUUCAUCCCUCUCAAUGCACAUUCUUGUUAUUAUGCUUUGUAGCUUUGUUCCCACUAUAAGAAGUUUCUGCAAUAUUAUAAUUUCUUUUAUAUAUAUAUAUAUAUAUAAUGUGAUGAUUACUUUUAAUUGUAUAAAAAAAAUUGAAUUUGUUUAUUUAAUAAAUUACCAACAAGGGAAUAAAGGGCAGCCAUAGAUAAUUAUGAAACCCUGCACAAAAUAAUCAAAAAAAAUUUGAGUUAAUUUUUUGCAUGAUUUUGAUUUUAAGAAUUAAUUAAUAGUUAAUUUUACCAUGUGCAUUGAAGAACAUGAAAAGUAUAGCAAACAUCCAAGUCCAUGGGCUGCAAAAAUAGAAAAAUUAAUGUUUAAAAGUUAAACAUAGUCUAUAUAAAUAUAAAUUAUUAAAUUAAUCAUUCAACAUAUUUAUUACAAUUUAUACAGUUAAAACAACUGGUCAAAUCAGUUUUAUACAUUUAAAAAAAAAAUAGAUUAACAGAGUUAUUUUGACUAAUUUAUUGUUAUUAAUUUAAUUAAUGUUUUAUUAUAUUUUCUUUAAAGUGUCUAAACAUUGUUUAAUUAUUAAUUUCAAUUAUUUCCAUUACUAAAUGAAAGAAAAUUAUAAAAUGUCAUGAAAUAAAUUAUAAUAAAUAAAAUAUUAAUAACAAAGUUGUAAUAUACUUGUAAAAUUUUAGAAAUUAAUUGUGUAUAUAUAUAUAUAUAUAUAUAUAUAUAUAUGUAUUACCUUGUACCCACCACCACUCCAAAAUCUUCCUCUAGUGCUCUUUUUAUAAAUUUCUGGAAAUCAAAAUUACUUCCCUCACCAAAGUGAGCCUGCAACAAAAUAUUAAUCUCAGACCAAAAUAACAUAAUAUUAAUAAUAACAAAAAUAAUAUGUGAUUUUUUUUUUUUUUUUAAUUAAUCAGUUCAAUAAAGAAUAUGAUAUACCAUAAGGAAUCCAUGCCUAAGAGUGAAGUAAUCAACUUUGGAUACAGAGUUAUAGAACUGCCUAAGAAAAGUUGCCUGCAAAUCAAACACAAAUUAAGUAAAUUAAAUUAUUAUUUUCUUUCAUUAAAUUAAGAAAGAAAUUAAUGUUCCAAACUAACCGGGAAUCGAAGAAGUCGAUGUUCGCUCCAAAAUCUAAGAUGUCGUUUCCCAAACGAUGUCUCAUGGAUCAACCGAAAUCUUCUUGGAUCUUUUGUUUGAUAAAUUCAAUCAAUAUUCUUAGAAUAAAUCUAAGUUAUCUCUAUUUUUUUAUGUUGGAUUCGACCGUUGUAUAAUAUAAAUUUUUUAUAUGUUAUGUAGGUAGUACUUAAUAAAUACAUUCGUAGAUCUAGAUCUAUAAAUGUAUUUAUUUACUUUUGAAGAUUUAAAUGUAAAGUAUGGUUUUUUAAGGACCACUAAAUACAAUUUUGGUACCCACCAUUUGAGAAUUGAUACUGCAAUGUUCUUGUUUCUGCUUCCCAAGAUUCCCACUUUCUCAUCUGCAAACAAAUGUAAGUACAUGCAACAAAAUUAGAUUUUUGUCAAACAAAAGUCCCAACUUCCCCACUCAACUCUUGUAUAAUUCUUUCUUCUAUUGAAAGAGAAAAGAAAACAUCAUUUACUUCUUCUCUUUCUCUUCUGAAUUUUCUCAAACAGUUCUAAAAAGUCAAAGCACGGCUAUAGAAAACCCAGCAGAAAACAUAUCUAGAAAAACCCACUAAGAAAAUUAAGUAUAAACACACAAAUACAUGCAUAUACCUUUGCCAUGCCAAGACUGAAUGUGAGAACACAAGAGAGAGAGUGAAAGCAAGCCAAGACAAAGAUUAGGUAUUGGAGUUGCCUUACACCUUUUCUUGAUAGUAAGGAAGCCUUACCCUGUCCAAUAACAAAACCCACUUUCACCAAUUUCAUAAACUAAUCAACAUAUACACACAGACACACACAAUACACCCAUAUCUAUGCAUACAUAAUUAAUGAUUAAUUAUACAUAUCCAUGCACCUGCUGUUCACAUUUGGCUUCUUCUUCGUCAAAAUCAGUUGAGGAGAUACCGGUGCAUGGCAGAAAUGACUGAGCAUAGCUGAUUGGGAUGCAAAUUUUGGCAAUGGACUUUUCACUCACGACCAGCAAUAAUGACAUGAAACCCAGUACCAUCAACUCUAUAUGUGCAUAUACAUGUAUGUAUACAGUGAAAAAAUCAGAAAUUAACUCAUAUUUCCAAAACAAAAUUAAUCACUAAUCAAAGUUACAAGCUUUAAUGGGUGACCUGAUUUGAUUUUGUUUAGGGCUUGAAACAGUGCUUUCCUCUUCUUCUUGUUGAAAUACUGCAGAAAGAAAAAGUGAAAAUCAUUAACAGCCAAUACCCAGAAAAAUAAAAAGAAAGAUAAUAUGAGAGUGAAUUCAGUCGAAGAGACAUUAAAUUAAUAAAGCAAACCUGAGAUAAGAGAUGAAGCAAAUGCUCAAUAAAAAUGGAGAUAAGAAUCAAGAAAAGACAAACAGUUGCCACAGCCCAUGUGGGUGUUUUUUCAAGUGUUGUGUCCUCUGCCAUCUCAGUAAUUUAUGUUCUCCAUAUGCAUACAUGCAUUAUAUAUAUACACGUGCGUGUCUGCGAUGUGUGUGUAUGAGCGUUGUGUGUGGACGAGAAGAAGGGAAAGGGGGAGGCCAAAAACCGAAAAGAUUUUUUGUUGGGGAAAAGAUAGGGUUUUUGUGUUGACAUAAAAAGUGGUUAAUUCUUGACUGAAUUGAGAGGCAAACGGGUAAGUAACUAUUAUCUUUUUAUUAGUAGUUUUCUAAAAAUUGUAUUACUCAAUUUAUAUAUAUAUAUAUAUAUAUAUAAACUAAAUCAAACAAAAAAAUAUAUAAUGAGGAAGAUGGUAUUUUAUAUGGAUCAAAUUAUGAUGAACUAUAUAAUCUAAUCAAUUUUUAGUUUUAGUGAUGAACUUGUAGGGAUCUAAUUAAACUUUCAUACUUCACAAUCACAAAUGAACUUUCUAAAUAGAAGGGUGUAUCUUUACCAAAAUAAUGGUUUAUGGAAUUCAAUGGAAGACAAUUCUAGAUAGUUUUAUACAGAUAAUCAGUCAUUAACCAACAAAAUAAUAAUAAUAAUAAUAAACUAACAAAAAGCAGCCAAUUGAAUUUGAAUAAUAAUUCCAUUAUAACUAAAUUGGUUGAUUUUCCACCUUUCUUUUCUCAGCAAUGAGACAGAGAACAGUACGUUUAAUUUCUUUUUCGUCUUCUUCCGAACUCACCCUCUUUCCUCUCUCUCUGGCAUUAAGCUUUAGCAUAUUCAUACACGGCGACAAGAGCUCUGCGGAUGAGCUUUCCUGUGGAGCUGGAUGGUGGCACCGCAGGUGUGAGAGCUGAGGGAGCCGACCUGGGUGAAGCGGGCGACCCAGGGGGUACUAUUUUGUAUCAUAACAAGAAUGAUCAAUCAAGCCAGUAAAGAUCACUCCUUUCGGCUUUCUAAUUAAUCACAAAAUAUUCUUUGAAAGGAAAAUCUAUCUGGGUACUAAACCACAAAACACAUUCUCAAAUACAACAUAGUUUCAUAUUCCACUCUGCUUAAAUUUAAGAAAGAAAGAGAUUACAUAAAGUAGCUAAGAGGUUAACAAUAGGAGUUAAAAAGUUAUCAAGUCACUUAAAAAUAAUCACAUUGUUUGCUUACAUAAGUUAAAUGUCAUCAUCAGUUGAAAACACCCACAAGAUCAAAACAUCCAGAGGCAUCUGCGUCUGCAAGCUUGGAUGCCCCGUCUUUGAUUAGCAUUAAAUCGUAGCUACUGGAGAAAAAGCUGUCAGAAUUCCCAACAAUACAAUCUUUGGGACCAUGGCUAAAGCUUGCAAGAACAACACUUGAGAAACCAAGGAUGAAAAUCAGAAGACAGGCUAAACAUCCACCAUGCUAAAACUAAGCAUGAUCAUAGACCGUUUGGGUCUGGUCCUCAGCCCAUGUGGAAGGUCAAAAACUCAUUCUGCAGAUAUCCAGUCUUGCAAAUGAAUGCUUUCCGGCCAAUUAAGGCUACCAUCAAUUAUAAUUAUAAAAUGAUUUUGAUAAUCAAGACAAAUGCUCCGGCAGUAACUGCCAAGUAACCUCUCUUUAAAGGCUUCUUGUUAUCCUACUUUCGAACUAAAAGGCUUCUUGAGAUGCUAACCAUCGAUCAUACAUUGGAAUCCAUUGAGCCAAAUCCAUUCUCAAAAUACUCCUAUUUGUGAACCUCCAGAACCUUAUGACACAACACUACAGAGCAAUAUCGAAAAGCAUACCUCUUAUAGAAUAGAGCUCUCUUUGGUUAUGUACAAUUGCUUCCAACUGCUUUGCCUAUAACUGGGCGCUUCGGGUGGAACUAUUCGCCAACAUGAGGCAGAAAACAAACUCCAGUGUUUAUUUUAGCUGUUACGGCAGUUGUGUCUUUAUUGGAACCAUGUCUUUCUUCAGUCAAUGAAAAUCCGAAGAGUCUGCAACUACUUUUACAUGAUGAAACCAAAUCCUGACUGCCUCUUAAUGCUGACUGAGGUAUAAGAGGUUGGGAAAUACAAAGUUGAAAGUGCUCAUUUGACAAACCAAAGGAAGUGAUGCCUCCCUCAUCUUCCCCCCUCAAACUGCACCCUGGGACUGAUGAUGAUUUGAGCUUUCCCCUGUAUGUUUCAUGAGUAUGAAUAGAAGAUUGAUCGGUUUGCCUCUGCUCCUCUUGAUCAGUAACACCAUAAAGUGGAUUGACAUUUGGAACUGGAUUCCCUGCUUGCUGGAACAUUAAUACAGAAGAUGGUGAUGACACUUGCAUGCAUUGGACAGAAGGGUGCAUCCGAGAACCAUAUCCCUGCACUCGACUGGACCAUCCAUUUCUUGAUCCAGGCACCUGGAUAGCAUCUGAGCUUCCAAAGCAACCAUUUUCACGACCCUCAUAAGAAGUCACGGUUCUUCCAUAUGGAGUGCUUGGAAGCAUUUCUUGACCUUGCAAGACCUUACGGAAUCGAAAAGAUUCACCAAAGCCUGUGCCUUGAUAGGGAGUAUCAGAAUUUGCUAGUGGGUCACCAAUGCCAUGUGCUAUGGAAGCAACCCCACAUCCAUUCGAACCAGGAAAGCACCUUCUAAUUUCAGAAGGAUGAAGAUUCUUCCCAUCAUUACCAUUACAGGGAGAACUAAAACCAAAAAUUUCUUGACCUUGCAAGACCUUCUGGAACCUUAGAGAUUCCCCAAAGUCUGUUGCUCCAAUUCCAUCUGUUUAAAGAUGCCAAGAGUUAAUGAUGUUCGCAUGAGUACCAAAAACAUUCUAUCCUAAUGAAUCUCUCUUCCUAUAGAGGACAUACCAGGAACUGAAAACUCUGGUUUUCCUGAUGCUAAUCCAAUCCUGGUUCGCUUCGAACCAGUUGCUAUUGAGCCACAGGAACUGGACAUGGGACCUGAUGACUCAAUUUCCCACGGAGAAACCCUAUGAUGCCUGUUGGCCUCAAUAUCAUCCCACCUUACCUAUAAAAUAGACCCAAAUACAGUGCGAUGCCAUCAAAUUAGCUAAGCAACUUGAAUUUGAAAAUUCAGAAUUUGUGGAGAACAGAAAAGCCAUAACCAAGGGCACCUAAAGGCGCAAAGGACUACUGAAAGCUGCUUCCACCCGGUGAUGAAGGUUUUUGUUUCAAACCCAUGCAGUCUUGAAAAAUUAGAUUUAACCGAAAAAACAAAUGUUGCAAAGAAAUAUUGUCGAUGGAUAUUACGGGAAACAGACAGAAAUCCACAUUACUUAAGUUUAACUUUGAAUUUUACACCCCCCAAAAAAGAGUUUUGUGCAUGCUAGUGUUACACGUACAAAACAUAGGUGAUAAGAUUAUAUCUAAAUAGUUACAGAUAAGAAUUCCAGAAAGCAUUUUACGUGAGACUUUUGAAAGUUAUGAAAGAGCCUCAUUUACAGUCUUAAGGCUCAUAUAACUCUAUGAAUCACAAAACUAGAAACUUAAAAGAAAAGAGAAGAAAAUGCAUAGGGAAUGUAGUGGAUUUUGAGUACCACAAACUUAAACAGUAAAGAAGUUACUCCAUGUCCCAAUCCGCCUUCCGGUUUUACCAUAUGAUUGAGAAUACAAUGAAUCCAGAAGUCGUAUUCGUAUUUAUAUUAUGAAAAAUAGGAAGUCAUAAAACAUAAAAAAAAGAAAAGCAAAAGUUGGAACUUUAUAAUUAUAACUACUCAAAACUGUAUCUAAAAAAAACACAGUUCAUCAUGCAAUGCCAGACUGAACAUAAAAAUUAAGCCAAAAAAGUUAUCUUAAGAUCAUGAUCAUGAUCAUCGCUUGCAUUUACACAAGUAAAUAUAUAAAGAAAAUUUUGCGUGAAGAUGAGAUGGAAGAUAUGACAUUUAUCCCUUUGACCUUCAAGGAAAAGUCAUACUUCAAGGAAAAGCCAUAACAAUUGAACUAAACAGUACGCCAAGUUAAUGGGUUAACUUUCAAGUGGAGAUUGGCCAGAUGAAAUUGUUUGAAGAAAAAGAAGUAUAGCAUAUCAUAACCACCGUGGCAAAGAAACUCACGGUUGAUAAACCUGAACUAUAAUAUAAAAAUAAUUGUGAACCAACUCAAAUCCUAUUCAUGCAAGUAAAAACCAAGCAAAGACUUUUAACAAAUUCAUACCACGAGGCAUCGCCAUUUUGAACCAGGCCAUCUUAGAGGAUCCAUCUCAUUAAUCCCAGUUAUCAGUCCUGUGUAUCUGCCAAAAAAGUUGACCCAGUAAAGAUAUGAACAGACUACUGGAGUCUAAGUGCCAAAAGCCAAGGGAUGCCCAACCUUCGCUCAGCAGCAUCUUCUGUCUCAAAACGCAUUUUGAACCUCAUUCCAACAGAGAAAGAGUGAUCAAUGCUCUUUAGGAAUUUGCGAACAGGUAUUACAAACUCUGACAAGCUUCCCCUAAAUGAUGCACUUGGAUAUAAGGGUACAAGUUAGUGGCUAAAAAUUCUAUAGAUUACAGUUUAAGCACAAGACAAAGAAACAGAAGCUAAUAGUUAUAUGUCCAUAACCAGAAAAGAUGCUAGCCAAAAAGAACCUCUGGCAAGUGAACAAAUUCAAAGGGUAUAGGACAGAGAAAUCAUGAAGUUUGAUAAAGUAUGUCACAGUAUAUAUCAUUUACAUGGCUGAACAUCAAUGACUUGCAUAUGAAGAGAUACAUUAUGAAGAGGUGUGAAUGAUCCCUGAAUCCAAUUAAAAAAUCAUCAGAAAUGAUCUUAUCUAAAUGGCUCAUGAUGAGAUUGUUUAGGGACAUGGAGUGUGUUCCAGUCAAGAAAAAAAAUUAGGUAAUGCUACUAAAAUAUUGAAAAGGAACCACCACCAAGGGAAAAUUAUGCAGAAUGGCUUAAAAUACUUUGGCUGCUGCUAGUCUGAGAUAAGAGUAAUUUUACAAUGAAGUCUAGGAGAACCUUGCAAAGGCAACAACAUAAAACCAUCUCGUUGUUCACCCUUUUAACCUUUCUCUUUCAGGAGAAAUAGAUUGUGACAGCUAUGCAGAACGUAUGAUUGAAAACUGAAAGGAAAAGGAUUUAAGUGUACAAGAAGAAUCUCAAAAAUUUUGUCAACAGCACCAUCAAUCUCUUUAAUGUUUAAUUUUAUGAUAUUUCAAGUUCGAGACAAAUUGUACUAGACUUUCUUGUGCUUAGCACAUCCUUGAAAGGUUCAAUACACUAUACUCAACAAGCAAACACUGAACUGAAGCAUAUAGAAGUAACAAGAGCAAUGCAGAAAUGGUAAGGACUAAUCCAAAUAAGACAAUACUUUUGCUCACCACUUCAAACCAAGUGGACCAGUUAAUAAGCAUUCUGCUAAAGUUUUUGGUAUUUAUAGCAUGGAUUAUUUUCAAAAAGAUAAUUACUUUAAAAAAGUAAAUAAAAGCAACUAAAUAACACCAUACCUUGGAUUGUAGUAAAUACUGAAAGCACUUCGCAUAGAUACAGCAUGAACUACAUCUGCAUAAUUGCUGUGAUUCAGUUGCUGGCCACAGAGAGCAGAAAAAGUAGAACCAACUUUAACUUGAGCUGCUCUUCGGAUUCCAAGUCUCAAUUCUCCAUCUUCACCCCUGUCAUAAGUAUCAUAUAAGAUUGUGGAGAAGAAUAGCCAACAGUUUCUUAACGAAAGCUUCUUAUACCGAAGAAAGAGCACAGCAUCUCCAGAAACAAGCUUCUUUUUAUUGACAAAAGCAGUCCAUCCAGUCGUAAGCAAAUGCCUUCGAGGCUGGCCUACUCAAACCGAAAGGGAGGAACAAAGGAACUAAUCAAAUAGGCGGCUAAGAUCAUAUAGUUUCCAUUAACAAGCUCCUCUACUUUAUGAAAUGAAAUAUCUAAUAAGAUAGCAUACCCCUAUAGAUGUGUCGGAAUCUCCAUUCCACUCCAUGAAGAUCCUUUGCUACAAGCUCUUGUGAAGGUCUUUGCUGAUCGUAAUCCUACAAAAACAUCUGCUUAAACACCAUAAACUACACAAAGUACUACAGCAUUUUGUAAAGCAAACCCAUGUGACAAAAAUGUACAAAAUUCCAAAUGCAUCUGCUGUAAACAUAUUUUGGGAGAAAAUGCACCAUAAUUACCAGAGGAGGGAAGCAAUCCUCGGCAGCCCGGCGGGGGACAGAGAAGCCUCCAUGGGUGCUAGUAUCUGAGGCAGUAAGGGUCUUGCAGAACAUGUGAGGUGUGAUAGACUUUCUAGCUGCUUCUAUAUCCUCCUCACCAUCGGCAGCCUCAAUAGACCCAUCAUGUAACUUUUGCUCAAUUUGCUACACAUAACAAGAAAGAGGAAAAAUCAAUCUUCAUGUCAAGAAGCUCAAGUCACACUCAUGACAAGAAAAAUAACCAAAAAGAAACUCUCUGGUAUGCCCAGAUAAAAAAAACUACUAAAAAUAACAAGCUUAAGCCUCAAAUGCGGUGUUAUAAAUGGAGAUUUUGAUCUUUCAAGCCCCGAAAUGAUGAAAAUAUGUAGUCCAAAAGUUCCAAAUCUUCCACAUUUUUCCAGCAAAAAGACAACAGACUAGAACAAACAAACCUCAGUUUCGGGAACAAGCGAGACCUGCGCAUAGACCUCAUCGGUUGCUGCCUCUGCCUGAUAGACAAAAAUAAGUACUUCACUGUAAAUUCACAAGAAUAAUGUACGAAGAGCAUCGGAUUUGAUUCGUAGUUAUCCAAAAUGGCAAAAGAAAAAUGCAGUCUUAUUCUCGCUAAGUGCAGCAGUAGAAAAGGAAGAAGAUAACAAAACGUCAAAUUUCCGGAAAUCCUCCAUUUUCUCCGAACCAAACAGAAAUCAGAUGCAGAAACAAUUAAAUAAUUUUAUUCAUGAAAAGAGAACCUCUAGGACUAUAGCAUUCUUAUUCAGGAAAUAACUCCAAUUUAACUGGAAACCCAAAUUUAGAAAAUCUCAAAUUGCCCUCAAUAAUAUCCAAAACCAAACGAAUCCCAUUACUAAGAAACCUUAAAAACGAACCAAGUUCACAAAUCCCAAAAGCUCAUGUCCCCAAAAAGGAAAAAGAAAAAAAAAGCACCAAUACCCAUUUGGCCAAUAUAAUUAAAAAAAACACAGAUUACAGAAGAAGAGGUUUAUAUAUACACAGUUAGAACUUGCAUACUUACAUGGAGCUUGACAUCAACAACACGACAGAAAAUAUGGGGAGGAAGAUCAUAAGCUGCGGCGGGGAAAUUGGGAACAUGUUCUAAGUGUCCCUGAGGAAAGUACACCACAAUACUCCCUCUCUUAGGCAGAGAUAUCAGUGGCCCUGCACAUGCGUGCCAGAGCUCCAGACACACAGCAGAAGCAGCAGCGGUUACAGCAGAAGCGCUGAGAACAGAAGCAGAGGAGGAAGAUGGUGAGAGCGAAGCGGAGGACGGCGUUUCAUCUUCCUCGGUAGUGUUGAGAUCGAUCAAGCCCCCCAUUAGUGGAUUAACCCAGAGAGAGAAAUCAGGGUAGAAGAAAACAACGGAGACGGAGAAAAUGAAGAAGCAGUGUAGAAUGUGAAAAUAAGUGAUUAUGAGAGUGAGUAGAAAGAGGAGGAGGAGAAGAUGAAUUUGUGAAUUUGCUCAUGAGUGCAUUGUUGUUUUAGAGUGCAACUUUAGCAUUUGCUAAAAGAAGAUAUGAGUCAAGGGUCUCAAAAAGUGACUGAGACCCCUCUUUCUCUCUUUGCUUCCUAGCUUUAAUUAUUCAGAAGGAAAAAAAAAAAAAAAAAAAAGUUUUAAGAAAAAUUAAAAAUUGGGAGAUGGGUUUUUGGAUAUCAAAUCAAUCUUUAAUGGGUUUAAAUUAAAAUUGAAAAAUUGAAAAAGCUUUUAACAACAGUAUAUAAUAAUAAUAUAUAAUAGUGGUGUUUAUGGAAAGGUGGUGUUUGAUGUGCUUUUUCUGUGACUGCAAGCUGAGCAGUUCUGCUGCAAUGCUGCUGCCUGCUUCUGCUGCUGUUGCUGUUGCUGCUGAGACUGCUGGGUGUGAUGUGUGGCAGACACACAGAGAAAGAGAGAUGAGUGAGAGGAGUAAACAACUUUUACUUUUAUGAGGAAGACGAUUGUUAAUUAAUUUCUUAAAUAAAUACUUUUAUGAUAUCCAACUCAUAUAUAAUAAUUAUAUACAUAUCUAUUUAUUUAUUCAAAUAUUUAAAAGUAAAAAGAAGAAGAAAGAGUUCACGUACGGUUCCCUGUAUUCCCGGGGGGGAUGUCUAUUCUGUCCCCUUCUACCUCCUCCUCCUCCAUUACUAAUUAAUAUUUAAUCAUUCUUUAUUAUUAAUAUUUCAGUUGCUCUUAAUCAUUCUUCAUCAUCAUAAAAACACUAUUUUUCUCCCCCCCCCACCCCCAAAACAUAUUCAUUUUAUAUUUCUCUAAAAUCCCAAAAUGACUUUCAAAAUAUAUAUACACAUAUAUAAUUGGGUUUGGUUUAUAUUCUCUAUUUGGUGCAAGAUAAUGUAAGUGUAGAUUAUGGUAACCAAAACAUUUCAAGAAAACUACAUGCCUAUUCUGGUGUAUACUAAUUUUACCAACUGUGUAUACCUAUUCUGGUGUUUCUCCCAUAUAUAUAUAUAUAUAUAUUAUAUAUUAUAUUCUUUAAGCUUGUUAAUUUACAACAAUACUUAACUUUUAAUGCUUUCCUGCCUAAAGUUUUGACUUUUGCCAUUUUGUCUUGUUGUAGACCAUGCUUGCUUUCUUAGGCAAAAUGUAAUUACAAAUUGCUAACCAUUAUGCCUCGCCAAUAAUAUAAGUCGUCACUAUUUUCUUACUAACUACCUAAUCUAUUGCCAUUUUUAAUUACUAUAUUCUUUUGGGUUGCUACAUAUAUUGUUAUUUUCCCUCUAAUUUAGUUUUUUUUUAUUUUUUAUUUUUAUAUUAAUCUCAAUAUAUAAAAUUUAUUAGGACACGCGUUUGUAUAUUAAAUCUAAAAAUCGAAAUUCGAAUUUAUUCUAUAUCUAAAGUAAAGUUAUGAUUUAUGUGAAAUUUAUUUUAAAUUUAUGAUUAGAAGAUAAUGAGAGUAUAAUUUAAAUUGAUAAAGAUCAUUUGAUAUAAAAUAUGAAAUUAAGUUAAUGCAUUUCAAGUUUUAUAAAAUUUGAAAUAUAUUAUUUAAUUAUACAAAUUCUAUACAAACUAAAAUUUUUAUAUAUAUAUUUAAAAUUUUCAUUAUUAUCUUCCAAUCACAAUCAAAUUUAUAGAUUAAUUCGGCAUAAAAUUUAGAUUUUUUUUAAAAAAAAUAAUGAUGUGGGAUUAUAAAUGGUUGGAAAAUAUAUAUAAAUAUAUAUAUAUGGAGAUUUCUUUUUAAAAAAAAUAGAGCUUUUUUUUCUCUGUAAAAAAUUGUUAAUAUUUUUUUUUAAAUUGAAAAAAAAAAUGUGAAGGAAUAUUUCGUAAUUUUGUGUACAAAUGAGCAAUUGGUUUGUAGUCAGUCACAGAAUUAAUGAAGCAGACCAAAAAUAUCGAAAGCUUAGUACUUAGGAAUUAUAUUUUCCAUCUGCACGUGUACAUUUAAAUAUAUAUAUAUAUAAUUCCACCAAUAUAUAUAUUAUAUAAUUCCAAGUGAACUUAUAGCCGUAUACAUAUAUAUGUAUAUAUAUAUAUAUACGCCCAAUUCUAAUAAAACAUCAUUGGGAUUUUCUAAUAAUAUCCAAUUCUCAAUUAAACCGUAAUCCUUAUUUGAAUGGAUCAAAUUAGUUGCUAAUCGUCCAAUUUUAAUAAUUAUAAUAAUUAAUUUCAAUAAAAACUAACGAAAGAAUAUUAAAAAUACUUGUAAAAUAGUAACAAAAUAUAAGAAAAAUAUAUUACUAUUAGUAAAAUAGUGAAUAAUGUAAAUAAUAUUGUGACGUAUCAGUUAUUACAUGUGUCAUAUUAAUAAAGUGCUAGUUAGAUUUACCAUUAGAUAAAAUAAUUUUUAAAUAUAAAUAUAAACAUAUGAGAUAAUUCAAAUUUUUUAUAUAUGAACAAAUAUACAAAUUAUUCAAUUGAACAGUAGUUAGUUGACUAUGUAAAUAUUGAUAUAAAUGAGAUUAUUAUAUUUAUUUAAUAUAAAAAAUUAUAGGAUAAGAUUAUAGUCUAAUCCAUUUGACGUUUAAACAAAGUAUUAAAGAAAAAAACAAAACUCUACUAUCUUCUUUUUUUUUAUUUAUUACAUCGUUGAUUCUUCUUUUAUAGUUUUUUUUGUUAUAUAUUUUUUUUCCUUAUCCAGAAUGUGAGAUAUGAUAAAAGAGCUGGUUCUCAUAGCGUUAUAAUUAGUUCCUACUAUUCUUAUUUUUUUUCUUUUAUUUACUUGUUUUAAUAUUUUUUAUAUUUUUAUCAUUUACUCUAUUGUCAAAUGAUUACUGAUCUAUUUAUUUCAUAUUCUAAUGGUUCUUACCACACAUUUAUAUACAUAAUAGAGAUUAUGAUGAUUAAGUUGAUAAAAAAAUAAAUCAUAAGAUAAUUUGAAUUAUAUGUAUUUUACAUUUGAUUCGUUAUGGUAAUAUAAAUUAUUUGUUAUGGGAUAUUAGGGCUAUAUAAUAUUAUUUGAUAGUCUCACAUAUAUGAAAAUGAAAUAAAUAUAAAGUUCCAUUCUCUUAUGCCUUAUAAAACUUGAGAUAAUGCAUAGAUUCAUAACUCAUAAGCUUAUGAAAGUCGAAAUUUAACACCUAAAACAUAUGUGUGAGAAGUAAUACCUUAUAUUUGUAGUUUAAAAAUUAGUUCAUUAUUACCAUUAAACAAAUGUAAUGAUAUAGUAAGCAAAUAUCCAAACAGUUGCCCUUUCAUCUCAUAUAUCUUUCCAUGUUUGCUUAUAAAGUUAAACUUCAUUAUCACUUUUGGUUUUUGUUAAAAUAUACAAGGAAAUAAUGCUAUAAUACUUUUAAAACAUAUGCAUAGAUACACUUUUUUUAAUAAAAUUAUAAAGAAUAAAACUCAAGGUAUUUAAGUGUUUGCGUAAAAAUAAUAAAACAAUUAAAAGAUAAUAAAAAUUGAAAAUAGUUUACCCUAAUAUAGAAAUUGUAUAACUUAUGACUUUAUUCACUUUAUUCUUUUAAAAUAUUAAUGUUAUAUAUAAUUAAUGGAGAUUUAUAAACUGAUAUAAUAAUUAAUGAUAUAUUAAAAUAAAUGAAUGGAUCAUAAAAAAACUAAUUGAAGUAGUACAACCUAUCAAAGCCGCUAUAUUAUGGUUACUUUAUAUCAUCAAAUGAUGUAAUCUCAUAUCGGCUCAUAAAUAGUUACUCAUAUGCUCCUCGAUCCAUUGAAUUUUCAUAAAUAUCUCAUGUUUUUUUUGUCCUCUUUAUUUCUCUGUAGCGCCCGGGAAAUUGAAAAAAAAAAACAAAAAAACACGCGCGCGCACUCAGCAGCCACGUCAGCAGACCCAGUCAGCAGUCCUGGCCAACCAAGACCUGCCACGUGGCAAAACCACGUCGACCGGGGACGGGCCACGUUGCCGAUCCGCGUGCGCGCGAUCGGACGGCCCAGAUCAAUCACGCGCACAGACGACCCAGAUUUAAUCGCACGGACGGCCCAUAUUUAAUCAAAAACGGACGGCCCAGAUUCAAUCAAAAUGGACGGCUAAGAUCAAAAGGCAAAAGAGUAUAAAUAGAACUCCCACACCAGACCACAAAACCCUAGCCGCCUGCCCUCGCUGGAGAAGACGAACCAGAGCCGGCCGCCGCCACCCGCCGCCGCACCGGGGAGAUUUUCGACCGCCGAUCGAGGUAAAUUUCAUACCCCCGACUCGUUUUUCCACGCUGAUUUCUCCAGUGGCCAAAUCAGAGCCAAAAUCCCGGCCAAACGGCCGAAAAACAUGGCCGAAAGCCAGCAGCGCCGCCGCGCCCCUCCUCGGUUUUUGCCUCCGAUGAGGCCCUUCCGGGCCUCCGUUUAAUGCAAUUUUUAUAUCACCGUGAUCACCAUUCUUUUCUCUACAGGUUGAUCGGAGCCGAAUCACCAAAACACGAACUUCACCGGAGAGCCGCCGCACCCGAGAGCACCGCCGCCGGUAAGCUUCAGUUUUCCGUAAAUUUUCGGCCCCCCGAGGGCCGUAGGGUUGUUUUAUCGCAGGAACCAAUGCGAGUGUGGCCGAAUUCAGCCGGAAACGGCCGAAAACGGCCAACCCAAGGCGAACCGCAGCUGCAAGCGGCGGCGCCGUCGCCGGAGCACGGCGGAGCCGCCGUGCCGGAGUUGCGAUAUUAGCUGAAAGGGGCCCUGGGCCUAAUUUGGGAUUUUUUUGGAACACGUGCAGGUACCAGUAGUGCGUUUCAGUUCCCCGGAAAAAAUUCAGGAAAAAUUAGGGACAGCCUGCAGGCGCACUGUGAAGCCGUGUUCGAACCCCGAAACGAGUAAGGACCCCUCACCCUAUUUCUUAUCACGGUUUUAAAGUUCAAUAAAUGAUAAAACGGUAUUUCAUGAAUCAACGAAUGUGUGAAAUUGCUUAAGGUCGCUAAUGGAGCCCGAGUCUAGUGUGUUUGUCGGUUAACUGUUAUUUGGCCUGUUUUAUAGUUUUAAAUGCAGUAUGAGGUUUGAUGUUUUCAUUUUAUAGUUUCGUGUGCAUAUUGUACUGUUUUAUUGAUUAUGGAUUGAAUGACUGGGAUAUUGAUGCUGUAUAUUGUCUGUUUGGCAUAAAUUAUUGUUUUGCUUGUUUGUAUGUGGAUUGAUGAUGCUGACUGAGGGAAAAGAGAAUGAUAGAUUAUGUAAAUGGGUAAUUGUAUAAUGUGGUCAGCCUGACUAGAUAUCCUGAGAGAUGGUGGACGGACUGGGUCCGUAAGGAACCCUACCGAGAUUGUGGUCUCCCAUACCGGACGGUGUAUGAAGAUCUUAUGUGUUUUGGCACCCAUACCGGACGGGGUAUGGGGACGGCCCGUUUCACCCUCAUACCGGACGGGGUAAUGAGGUCUAUAGUUUUGGCGCCCAUACCGGACGGGGUAUGGGGACGGCCCUGGAAAAAUGAUUUCAAGUGUUAAGGGUUAACGGGUAGCGGGACCCCUAUGGAUCCCCAUGGAUACUAGUGGGCUGGUAAAUGAGGAAAAUAUGUUGUGUAACGAUUGAAUUACGAAAAGCUUGAUAAGUAUUAUGUUAUACAGUUUAUAUAUAUGAUUUCAUGAUGAUGAUGAUGUUAUUGCUUUCGUAUAUUGUUUUAUGAAUUUCACCGAGGUAAGUGAAUGGUAAAGGUUUUAUUAUUAAUAAAAGGAUUUGUUGUAAAUUAUGCUCCAUUGGUCUUUUUGUGUUUUCUACCCACCUUUACCUCCGUGACGGUGAGAUAUCGUGAUGUCUUUACUGGGCUAGUGUAGCUCAUUCCUUAUUUAAUCAUUUCAGAUCAAGAGAACAUCGUUCCCGAGCCGGUUCUGCAGGAUGACGACGAAGGGGACGCCUAAAGACUCCAUAGUCAUAUUCGUAGCUUUUACUUUCAAGUUUCUCCUUUAGGUAGUUUGAUCUUUUAUAUUCUGUGAGCACGUUUUUGGUUUUAGUGUAAGGGAUAUUAUUCAAAUUUUGACUUCGCUUCCGCAUUUGAUAUUUUUAAUAUACAUUUCAUUUUAAAUUUCCGGGGCCGUUACAUCUCUUUUGGGUUUCUUAAAGUUUUUCUAUGAAUAGUUUUUAUUUUUGAAUGAAAAAGGUAUUGUCAAUAGAGUUUUUGUUU
rnacentral:lncRNA from 1 species